GGGCGUGUGGUCUAGUGGUAUGACGUCGGCUUCGCAUUUCCGAUCAUCUGAUACACGUGCGUCUGCUGAAGGUCCGGAGUUCGAUUCUCCGUUCGUCCA
rfam:Stachybotrys chlorohalonata IBT 40285 unplaced genomic scaffold scaffold1553, whole genome shotgun sequence.